rnacentral:rRNA from 1 species
UACGUAGGGUCCGAGCGUUGUCCGGAGUUACUGGGCGUAAAGCGCGCGCAGGUGGUUCACUAAGCCCGGCGUGAAAGCCCCCGGCUCAACCGGGGAGGGUCGUCGGGGACUGGUGAACUUGAGGGCGGCAGGGGCUGGUGGAAUCCCCGGUGUAGUGGUGAAAUGCGCAGAUAUCGGGAGGAACACCAAUGGCGAAGGCAGCUCGCUGGGACGUUACUGACGCUGAGACGCGAAAGCGUGGGGAGCAAACAGG